GGAUCCCGAUGAGUGUAGGACCUGCUCAAAGAACAAAACUUCAUAAUUACCACCACUAAUGGUCUAUUUGGCAUUGCUUCUGACCGCAUUUCAGAAAAGAAAACUUUUAGAUCCAUUUUCAAAAAACAGUUUCUAACCAGUUUUGAACUACUUAAAUUUUGAUGACCAAAACAUGCAAAAUGCCUUUAAUAAGCAUAUUUUAUUAGAGUGUGUUUUUUUCAACAGCAAUUGCAGUAACAAUACAUAAUCGACUCUAACUGAACUCCCACAUAUUUGUAUACUCGGGAUGAUAAUGUAAACUAUUCCAAGCUUAAUGACGGACAAUGUAAACCACUCCAAGAUUAGUGACUGAACAUUAACAACCAAUUGGCAUUGGGGGGAAGUCAUACGCAAACACACAUACUUUCACUAAAUUGUCUAGACUAGCCAUAAUAAGGAAGACUGAAAAUCAAGAGCCUUCAUAAAAUUACAAAAUUCUUCAAAAACUAUUUUAGUGUUAAAUUUUAUAGAAGUGAUGGUCAUUGCUUGGCCCAAGUCUAGACUCAAAUUAAGGACCGACAGAUUGGUCCACAGACUCUCUACCCCAAGCCCAGCCCAAUCAUUGAGCUGGAGUCAAAGCCUGAGCCUGGCCAAUGGCCAUACUAUUUAAUGCCAACUAAAUAAUCAUGUCAGACAGGGUUGGGCUUUGCUAAGUCCGAGACUGACCAAAGAGUAGUUGAGAGUAAGAUCAGGCCAAUGCCAGCUGGCUCAAGCCCUAAAAUAGUACUAUACCUCUUGCAACCUGGCCCGUAUUCAUCCCCAGUUACAAGUGUUUCCAAACCAUACAGAAAUAAAAGAAUGAGAAAACAAGCACAUACUCACCUACUCCUCGAUACAGUG
rnacentral:misc_RNA from 1 species